UCCCAAUUAGUCUAGGCGGUUAGGAUACGUGGCUUUCACCCACGCGACCCGGGUUCGAGUCCCGGAUUGGGAA
rnacentral:tRNA from 2 species